GCUUGCACCGGGUGAUCAGUGGCGAACGGGUGAGUAACACGUGAGUAACCUGCCCCCGACUCUGGGAUAACCCCGGGAAAUCGGAGCUAAUACCGGAUACGAGACGCACAGGCAUCUGUAGCGUCUGGAAAGAAUUUCGGUCGGGGAUGGACUCGCGGCCUAUCAGCUUGUUGGUGGGGUAACGGCCCACCAAGGCGACGACGGGUAGCCGGCCUGAGAGGGCGACCGGCCACACUGGGACUGAGACACGGCCCAGACUCCUACGGGAGGCAGCAGUGGGGAAUAUUGCACAAUGGGCGCAAGCCUGAUGCAGCGACGCCGCGUGGGGGAUGAAGGCCUUCGGGUUGUAAACCCCUUUCAGCAGGGAAGAAGCGCAAGUGACGGUACCUGCAGAAGAAGCGCCGGCUAACUACGUGCCAGCAGCCGCGGUAAUACGUAGGGCGCAAGCGUUGUCCGGAAUUAUUGGGCGUAAAGAGCUCGUAGGCGGUUUGUCGCGUCUGCUGUGAAAACCCGAGGCUCAACCUCGGGCCUGCAGUGGGUACGGGCAGACUAGAGUGCGGUAGGGGAGACUGGAAUUCCUGGUGUAGCGGUGGAAUGCGCAGAUAUCAGGAGGAACACCGAUGGCGAAGGCAGGUCUCUGGGCCGCAACUGACGCUGAGGAGCGAAAGCAUGGGGAGCGAACAGGAUUAGAUACCCUGGUAGUCCAUGCCGUAAACGUUGGGCACUAGGUGUGGGGCUCAUUCCACGAGUUCCGUGCCGCAGCAAACGCAUUAAGUGCCCCGCCUGGGGAGUACGGCCGCAAGGCUAAAACUCAAAGGAAUUGACGGGGGCCCGCACAAGCGGCGGAGCAUGCGGAUUAAUUCGAUGCAACGCGAAGAACCUUACCAAGGCUUGACAUA
rnacentral:rRNA from 1 species